rnacentral:rRNA from 1 species
UACGAAGGGAGCUAGCGUUGUUCGGAAUCACUGGGCGUAAAGCGCACGUAGGCGGAUGUGUCAGUCAGGGUGAAAUCCUGGAGCUCAACUCCAGAACUGCCUUUGAUACUGAGGAGCUUGGAGUCCGGGAGAGGUGAGUGAAACUGCGAGUGUAGAGGUGAAAUUCGUAGAUAUCGGGGAGGAACACCGGGUGGCGAAGGCGGCGACCUGGGUAGAUACGUGACGCUGAGGUGGCGAAAAGCGUGGGGAGCAAACAGG